AUUGAACGCUGGCGGCAGGCCUAACACAUGCAAGUCGAACGGUAACAGGAAGCAGCUUGCUGCUUUGCUGACGAGUGGCGGACGGGUGAGUAAUGUCUGGGAAACUGCCUGAUGGAGGGGGACAACUACUGGAAACGGUAGCUAAUACCGCAUAACGUCGCAAGACCAAAGAGGGGGACCUUCGGGCCUCUUGCCAUCGGAUUUGCCCAGAUGGGAUUAGCUAGUAGGUGGGGUAACGGCUCACCUAGGCGACGAUCCCUAGCUGGUCUGAGAGGAUGACCAGCCACACUGGAACUGAGACACGGUCCAGACUCCUACGGGAGGCAGCAGUGGGGAAUAUUGCACAAUGGGCGCAAGCCUGAUGCAGCCAUGCCGCGUGUAUGAAGAAGGCCUUCGGGUUGUAAAGUACUUUCAGCGGGGAGGAAGGGAGUAAAGUUAAUACCUUUGCUCAUUGACGUUACCCGCAGAAGAAGCACCGGCUAACUCCGUG
rnacentral:rRNA from 1 species